rnacentral:rRNA from 1 species
UACAGAGGGUGCAAGCGUUAAUCGGAUUUACUGGGCGUAAAGGGCGCGUAGGCGGUGAUAUGAGUGAGGUGUGAAAGCCCCGGGCUUAACCUGGGAAGUGCAUCUCAAACGAUAUGACUAGAGUAUGGGAGAGGGUGGCGGAAUUUCCGGUGUAGCGGUGAAAUGCGUAGAGAUCGGAAGGAACGUCGAUGGCGAAGGCAACCAUCUGGCCCAAUACUGACGCUGAGGCGCGAAAGCGUGGGGAGCGAACAGG